rnacentral:rRNA from 1 species
UACGGAGGGUGCAAGCGUUGUUCGGAUUUAUUGGGCGUAAAGCGCGUGUAGGCGGUUUCUUAAGUCUGAUGUGAAAGCCCCGGGCUCAACCCGGGAAGUGCAUUGGAUACUGGGAGACUUGAAUACGGGAGAGGGUAGUGGAAUUCCUAGUGUAGGAGUGAAAUCCGUAGAUAUUAGGAGGAACACCGGUGGCGAAGGCGGCUACCUGGACCGAUAUUGGCGCUGAGACGCGAAAGCGUGGGGAGCAAACAGG